rnacentral:sRNA from 1 species
GACGAAUCAACUGAUCGCCAGGAACGGAAAUCAGUUGACCCAGAUACAGUAUGAAGUGGACAAAAGAAAGAAGGUGCAUGUAAUGUAAAAGAGGGGUGUGGAUAGUCUAUGAGAU